UGAGUGAGGGCCCUCUGGGUCCAACCUCCCACCCGUGUUUAUUGUACCUUGUUGCUUCGGUGCGCCCGCCUCACGGCCGCCGGGGGGCUUCUGCCCCCGGGUCCGCGCGCACCGGAGACACCAUUGAACUCUGUCUGAAGAUUGCAGUCUGAGCAUAAACUAAAUAAGUUAAAACUUUCAACAACGGAUCUCUUGGUUCCGGCAUCGAUGAAGAACGCAGCGAAAUGCGAUAACUAAUGUGAAUUGCAGAAUUCAGUGAAUCAUCGAGUCUUUGAACGCACAUUGCGCCCCCUGGUAUUCCGGGGGGCAUGCCUGUCCGAGCGUCAUUGCUGCCCUCAAGCACGGCUUGUGUGUUGGGCUCCGUCCCCCCGGGGACGGGCCCGAAAGGCAGCGGCGGCACCGAGUCCGGUCCUCGAGCGUAUGGGGCUUUGUCACCCGCUCUGUAGGCCCGGCCGGCGCCAGCCGACAACCCAUCAUCCUUUUCAGGUUGACCUCGGAUCAGGUAGGGAUACCCGCUGAACUUAAGCAUAUCAAUAAGCGGAGGAA
rnacentral:rRNA from 1 species